rnacentral:tRNA from 1 species
CAGGGGGUAGUUUAUUUUAAAAUGUUGGCUUUGGAGGCUAACGAUGAGUUUGUCUUUCCCUUGA